CGCACAGUGGCUUAGUGGUUAGCAUGUUUGUCUCACGCCUCCAGAAUCCGGGGUUCGAUUCCCGCCGGGGCCG